UACAGAGGUCUCAAGCGUUGUUCGGAUUCAUUGGGCGUAAAGGGUGCGUAGGCGGCCAACUAAGUCCGACGUGAAAUCCCCAGGCUUAACCUGGGAACUGCGUCGGAUACUGGAUGGCUUGAAUUCGGGAGAGGGAUGCAGAAUUCCAGGUGUAGCGGUGAAAUGCGUAGAUAUCUGGAGGAAUACCGGUGGCGAAGGCGGCAUCCUGGACCGAGAUUGACGCUGAACGGCGAAAGCUAGGGGAGCAAACGGG
rnacentral:rRNA from 1 species